UCUUGAGUAUGAUUAAGGCAGGCGGAAUGCGUGGUGUAGCGGUGAAAUGCUUAGAGAUCACGCAGAACUCCGAUUGCGAAGGCAGCUUGCUAAGGCAUAACUGACGCUGAGGCACGAAAGCGUGGGUAUCAAACAGGAUUAGAUACCCUGGUAGUCCACGCUGUAAACGAUGUUCACUAGGUGUUUGCGAUAGACGGCAAGUGCCACAGCGAAAGCGUUAAGUAAUCCACCUGGGGAGUACGCCGGCAACGGUGAAACUCAAAGGAAUUGACGGGGGCCCGCACAAGCGGAGGAACAUGUGGUUUAAUUCGAUGAUACGCGAGGAACCUUACCCGGGAUUGAAA
rnacentral:rRNA from 1 species